rnacentral:rRNA from 1 species
ACACUCCUACGGGAGGCAGCAGUGGGGAAUAUUGCACAAUGGGCGCAAGCCUGAUGCAGCCAUGCCGCGUGUAUGAAGAAGGCCUUCGGGUUGUAAAGUACUUUCAGCGGGGAGGAAGGCGAUAAGGUUAAUAACCUUGUUGAUUGACGUUACCCGCAGAAGAAGCACCGGCUAACUCCGUGCCAGCAGCCGCGGUAAUACGGAGGGUGCAAGCGUUAAUCGGAAUUACUGGGCGUAAAGCGCACGCAGGCGGUCUGUCAAGUCGGAUGUGAAAUCCCCGGGCUCAACCUGGGAACUGCAUUCGAAACUGGCAGGCUGGAGUCUUGUAGAGGGGGGUAGAAUUCCAGGUGUAGCGGUGAAAUGCGUAGAGAUCUGGAGGAAUACCGGUGGCGAAGGCGGCCCCCUGGACAAAGACUGACGCUCAGGUGCGAAAGCGUGGGGAGCAAACAGGAUUAGAUACCCGUGUAGUCCCAUGA